rnacentral:rRNA from 1 species
GGUUAAGCGACUAAGCGUACACGGUGGAUGCCCUGGCAGUCAGAGGCGAUGAAGGACGUGCUAAUCUGCGAUAAGCGUCGGUAAGGUGAUAUGAACCGUUAUAACCGGCGAUUUCCGAAUGGGGAAACCCAGUGUGAUUCGUCACACUAUCAUUAACUGAAUCCAUAGGUUAAUGAGGCGAACCGGGGGAACUGAAACAUCUAAGUACCCCGAGGAAAAGAAAUCAACCGAGAUUCCCCCAGUAGCGGCGAGCGAACGGGGAGGAGCCCAGAGCCUGAAUCAGUGUGUGUGUUAGUGGAAGCGUCUGGAAAGGCGCGCGAUACAGGGUGACAGCCCCGUACACAAAAAUGCACAUGCUGUGAGCUCGAUGAGUAGGGCGGGACACGUGGUAUCCUGUCUGAAUAUGGGGGACCAUCCUCCAAGGCUAAAUACUCCUGACUGACCGAUAGUGAACCAGUACCGUGAGGGAAAGGCGAAAAGAACCCCGGCGAGGGGAGUGAAAAAGAACCUGAAACCGUGUACGUACAAGCAGUGGGAGCACAGAGCAAUCUGUGUGACUGCGUACCUUUUGUAUAAUGGGUCAGCGACUUAUAUUCUGUAGCAAGGUUAACCGAAUAGGGGAGCCGAAGGGAAACCGAGUCUUAACUGGGCGUUAAGUUGCAGGGUAUAGACCCGAAACCCGGUGAUCUAGCCAUGGGCAGGUUGAAGGUUGGGUAACACUAACUGGAGGACCGAACCGACUAAUGUUGAAAAAUUAGCGGAUGACUUGUGGCUGGGGGUGAAAGGCCAAUCAAACCGGGAGAUAGCUGGUUCUCCCCGAAAGCUAUUUAGGUAGCGCCUCGUGAAUUCAUCUCCGGGGGUAGAGCACUGUUUCGGCAAGGGGGUCAUCCCGACUUACCAACCCGAUGCAAACUGCGAAUACCGGAGAAUGUUAUCACGGGAGACACACGGCGGGUGCUAACGUCCGUCGUGAAGAGGGAAACAACCCAGACCGCCAGCUAAGGUCCCAAAGUCAUGGUUAAGUGGGAAACGAUGUGGGAAGGCCCAGACAGCCAGGAUGUUGGCUUAGAAGCAGCCAUCAUUUAAAGAAAGCGUAAUAGCUCACUGGUCGAGUCGGCCUGCGCGGAAGAUGUAACGGGGCUAAACCAUGCACCGAAGCUGCGGCAGCGACACUGUGUGUUGUUGGGUAGGGGGAGCGUUCUGUAAGCCUGUGAAGGUGUGCUGUGAGGCAUGCUGGAGGUAUCAGAAGUGCGAAUGCUGACAUAAGUAACGAUAAAGCGGGUGAAAAGCCCGCUCGCCGGAAGACCAAGGGUUCCUGUCCAACGUUAAUCGGGGCAGGGUGAGUCGACCCCUAAGGCGAGGCCGAAAGGCGUAGUCGAUGGGAAACAGGUUAAUAUUCCUGUACUUGGUGUUACUGCGAAGGGGGGACGGAGAAGGCUAUGUUGGCCGGGCGACGGUUGUCCCGGUUUAAGCGUGUAGGCUGGUUUUCCAGGCAAAUCCGGAAAAUCAAGGCUGAGGCGUGAUGACGAGGCACUACGGUGCUGAAGCAACAAAUGCCCUGCUUCCAGGAAAAGCCUCUAAGCAUCAGGUAACAUCAAAUCGUACCCCAAACCGACACAGGUGGUCAGGUAGAGAAUACCAAGGCGCUUGAGAGAACUCGGGUGAAGGAACUAGGCAAAAUGGUGCCGUAACUUCGGGAGAAGGCACGCUGAUAUGUAGGUGAAGUCCCUCGCGGAUGGAGCUGAAAUCAGUCGAAGAUACCAGCUGGCUGCAACUGUUUAUUAAAAACACAGCACUGUGCAAACACGAAAGUGGACGUAUACGGUGUGACGCCUGCCCGGUGCCGGAAGGUUAAUUGAUGGGGUCAGCGCAAGCGAAGCUCUUGAUCGAAGCCCCGGUAAACGGCGGCCGUAACUAUAACGGUCCUAAGGUAGCGAAAUUCCUUGUCGGGUAAGUUCCGACCUGCACGAAUGGCGUAAUGAUGGCCAGGCUGUCUCCACCCGAGACUCAGUGAAAUUGAACUCGCUGUGAAGAUGCAGUGUACCCGCGGCAAGACGGAAAGACCCCGUGAACCUUUACUAUAGCUUGACACUGAACAUUGAGCCUUGAUGUGUAGGAUAGGUGGGAGGCUUUGAAGUGUGGACGCCAGUCUGCAUGGAGCCGACCUUGAAAUACCACCCUUUAAUGUUUGAUGUUCUAACGUGGACCCGUGAUCCGGGUUGCGGACAGUGUCUGGUGGGUAGUUUGACUGGGGCGGUCUCCUCCUAAAGAGUAACGGAGGAGCACGAAGGUUGGCUAAUCCUCGGUCGGACAUCAGGAGGUUAGUGCAAUGGCAUAAGCCAGCUUGACUGCGAGCGUGACGGCGCGAGCAGGUGCGAAAGCAGGUCAUAGUGAUCCGGUGGUUCUGAAUGGAAGGGCCAUCGCUCAACGGAUAAAAGGUACUCCGGGGAUAACAGGCUGAUACCGCCCAAGAGUUCAUAUCGACGGCGGUGUUUGGCACCUCGAUGUCGGCUCAUCACAUCCUGGGGCUGAAGUAGGUCCCAAGGGUAUGGCUGUUCGCCAUUUAAAGUGGUACGCGAGCUGGGUUUAGAACGUCGUGAGACAGUUCGGUCCCUAUCUGCCGUGGGCGCUGGAGAACUGAGGGGGCUGCUCCUAGUACGAGAGGACCGGAGUGGACGCAUCACUGGUGUUCGGGUUGUCAUGCCAAUGGCACUGCCCGGUAGCUAAAUGCGGAAGAGAUAAGUGCUGAAAGCAUCUAAGCACGAAACUUGCCCCGAGAUGAGUUCUCCCUGACCCUUUAAGGGUCCUGAAGGAACGUUGAAGACGACGACGUUGAUAGGCCGGGUGUGUAAGCGCAGCGAUGCGUUGAGCUAACCGGUACUAAUGAACCGUGAGGCUUAACCUU